rnacentral:rRNA from 1 species
GUGGGGAAUCUUGCGCAAUGGGCGAAAGCAUGACGCAGCCAUGCCGCGUGAAUGAUGAAGGUCUUAGGAUUGUAAAAUUCUUUCACCGGGGACGAUAAUGACGGUACCCGGAGAAGAAGCCCCGGCUAACUUCGUGCCAGCAGCCGCGGUAAUACGAAGGGGGCUAGCGUUGCUCGGAAUUACUGGGCGUAAAGGGCGCGUAGGCGGACAGUUUAGUCAGAGGUGAAAGCCCAGGGCUCAACCUUGGAAUUGCCUUUGAUACUGGCUGUCUUGAGUACGGGAGAGGUGAGUGGAACUCCGAGUGUAGAGGUGAAAUUCGUAGAUAUUCGGAAGAACACCAGUGGCGAAGGCGACUCACUGGCCCAAUACUGACGCUGAGGCGCGAAAGCGUGGGGAGCAAACAGGAUUAGAAACCCCAGUAGUCC